UACGAAGGUGGCAAGCGUUAUCCGGAAUUAUUGGGCGUAAAGCGCGCGCAGGUGGUUUCUUAAGUCUGAUGUGAAAGCCCACGGCUCAACCGUGGAGGGUCGUUGGAAACUGGGAGACUUGAGUGCAGAAGAGGGAAGUGGAAUUCCAUGUGUAGCGGUGAAAUGCGUAGAGAUAUGGAGGAACACCAGUGGCGAAGGCGACUUUCUGGUCUGUAACUGACACUGAGGCGCGAAAGCGUGGGGAGCAAACAGG
rnacentral:rRNA from 1 species